GGAAAAUCAGUGGAAUUAACACAUAUUAAGUGCCCGCUGUGGUCAAGCACUGUGCAAGCACCGUGGAAACCCGGACCCUGACAAUGAUGCUGGAGGGGGGGGUCCUGCCACACCCAGCUUACAAGGGAGGAGAUUCAGGCCCAGAGAGUCGUGACUGGCUGGCCUAGAUUCACCUAGCUUGUCACUGGCUCUGCUGGGACUGAAAUCUUGUGUCUGGCUACAAAAUGCAUGCUAGCGCCAAUUCUCACAUCUUCCCUACUACUUCCUUCUCACCUCUCAAAACAAAAUACAAUCUUUAUUAAUGCUGUUUUUAUUAUUUUCUUUCUCUGGCUCUGCUCCCCUCCUGACCCCCCACCCCAACUAGAAGAGACCUUUCCCACCUUGGAACCCUUGGCCUUGCUUGUUUCUUUAGAUUCUGAGCAGUGACUAAUCUGAGACACAGUCACAUUGGAAUCUAAAAAGAACACUACAUGGAGUUCCCAUUGUGGCCCUGCAGGUUAAGAACCCAACAAAGUAUCUGUGAGGAUGCAGGUUUGAUCCCUGCCUCAGUGGGUUAAGGAUUCAGCAUUGACGCGAGCUGCAGAGUAGGUUGCAGAUGUGGCGCAGGUAACACAUUGCUGUGGCUAAAGCGCGGUUCCACCCCUAGCCUGGGAACUUCCAUAUGCCACAGGUGCAGCCUUGAAAGAGGAAAAAAACAAAAAACAAAAAUCAAAACCCAUGUUGUCAAAUCCAAAUUUAUUUCUACCAACAAUCAAUUUGGUUGUGGCUUCAGAAUGAAAUAUUUUUAUUGUAUUUCUAAGAGCAAAGCAUGCUGAGAUUUGCAUUCACGUGAGACUGCAGCAGAAACAAAAUACAGGGCCAGUUGUAGGACACCCUCUCCUCCUUAGCCCAGCUGUGGGUGGGUGGGUGUCUGUGGGUGUCAGAAAUCUCAUGGAAACCAAAUGCUCCCUGGGUCCCCAUCAUCAGGACUUUUAAAUUGCUCACUCUGGCUCAGACAUUUCCUGGAGACUCUGAUAAGAGAUGGUUGUCUAUUUGGUGUCCUAGAGUCAGGAGCCAGGAACCUUGUGGCAAGUAGGGCAAGAUACAUUGCUUUUAUAUAAUUUGAUUUCUUCUUCCUUAAAAUGGAGAUACUAACGCCGUUUGCCCACUCACCCACUUCACAAUUUGCUAGGAAGUUUAAAUCAGAGAAUUUAUGUAACUAUGCUGUUGUGAAAGCUGGCAAAUGCUUUGAGAAUGUUGCUAGUGCUGAUGUGUUUGCCAUUAGUAAAAAUGGGAAGGAGGAUUCAGCAAGGCCAAGUGAAAUGUUUAAGGUCACACAGCACGUAAGUUGUUGGAAUAAGGACUUAAUAGCCCUGUUUCACUCUGCAAAUGGCUGAAAAGAAAUCCCAGUGCCACUGGAAGGCUCAGAUGCUGAGCUCUACAAUGCUGGGCCAAGUUCAGCCCAGAAAUGGGGACACUGAUCUGGGAUGGGUCCCAUUGCUCUCCCCGGCUGACCCUCUCUGCAUCUUUGUCCCAGAAGCUUCUCAGGCUUCUCAGCAGUGUGGGUGUCCUGCCUCAGCCAGAGCUGAAAUCCCAGAGCAGGGACAGAGAAGCCAGUGUCAUGGGGCUUCUGGUUUCAGGAUAUACUGGAAAGGUGAGAAGGAAGCUUGUCUUCCCAUGGAUCUGGGCCAGGGCCGGGUGGCAGGGCCUCCCCUGCCAGAAGCUGGGACGUUCCCCAGGUGCCUGGGCAUCCCCAGGUCAGCAGAGCUGCCAGCACUUUCCAAAGCAUUAGCUUGGGUCAGAAAAUAAGUCCUUCAGCCCUUUGUAUGGACCAGAUGCUUUGUGCUUCAGACAAAACCUGCCCCAGAAUCUACAGUCUUGGCAAGCACUUAUGUUCCCUCAGUUUAGGGGCUAGUUUGUGGACUAGAAAGUAAAGCCCCAUGCACCUGCUUCUUGGAGGAUUUGAUGAGACCUCUUUAUAUGCUGUACCUCCACACCUCAACCUCCAUGACUUUGACCUUUAUGUCGCUGCAGCUUCCCCCCACCCCAACUACCACCUUGCCUCCCCACCCCCAACCCUUGCCAAAAUCCCACCCGUUUUUGAGGCCUGGUACAGGUAUUACUCCCUCUGUGAAAUCUGUUCUGUCCUCCUCCCAGUUGGGAAUAAUGAUGAAAGCCCCUUCUCUGGGCUCUCACAGAAUUUUGUGAGCAUGGUAGUACAUUCCAGCUGGUUUGCACUGGAAUUUCCUGAACACCCAGCCUAGAACAGAGUAGCUGCCCUGUUGGUCUGUGGGACUCAAGUCAGGCUUAGUUUUCAUCCUUUCUCUUGAAGGGUAGAGCAGAGCCCUGGGCUGGAGGCCUGUAGAUGGUUGAGUAGACACUGUGGUAUCUACCCUGUUCCCCUUUUCAGGGCCUGUGCAUCCCCACACACACCCCGGAUGCUCUGAGUGUGACCUGCUUGCCUUUUCCUGACUCACAGCUACCGUCUUUCUUGGGAGAGCUGCCCUCAGGAAACAGGAGUUGCCUCUCCAGUAGGUUACCCACCCUGCCUCAACAACCACCAGCACAGGGCUGACUAAGUGACACAGGGAUCUGAAAGGUUGGUGCCUGCCUCUGUAGGGGACACUGUGGCCUAGCGCUUUAGGCUCCAGAGUGCCAGUCCCACUUCCAACCUCCUCUUCAAGGACUAGGCCAAGGCCACUGUUUACCUGAGACCAUAGCUUAGAGCUCUGAAAGUCUCAUAUCCUAGUCCAAUCCCUCAGUUUAGGGCAAACAAAGCUGAUUGGUUGGCCUAGACUGGGGUGCCGGAUUUAGGAAACAAAAAUACAGGAUUUCCAGUUAAAUUCGCAUUUCAGAUCAACAAAGCGCACAUUUUUGGUAUAAUUACGUCCGAUGCAAUAUUUAGAGCUCCUUGUAGUAAAAAAUUGCUCACUGUUUAUCUAAAAUUCAAAUUUAACUGGACACUCUGUAUUUUACCUGGUAGCCCCACCCUCAACCAGAUCUGUGCUUGUUCCUUUCUCCUCCAUAUCCUGCUUCUCUAUCUCCCUCCCUUGCAGGUUUUUCCCUCUAUAAACCAGGGGACCUAACACCCUUUCUCAGCCUCGGCUCCUAAGGAACCUGACCUAAGACUGUCAUUGCUCCUUGGGCAUCUGCAGUGGCCUGGAAAGGCCCUCCAUUCCCCCUGCACUUUGCAGAACACAUCUCUUUAGCCCAGUCUGUUGUCACUGGAUGGGCAGAGCAGGCCUGAGGAGAGUCUCUGAGUAACCCUGGUGGAUGCCGCUACCUCUGACUACCUUCAUACAGGACUGGCUUCCUGGAAAACUCAGGAAGACAGGGCAUCCAGAAGUCCUUGUGACCACAGGACUUUAAGGAGAUGUCUUUAAUCCAUCCAUGACAGAGACAGGGUUGGUGACUUAAUAGCUGAGCCUAGAUUUUAUACUCUGGAACAUGAAAACCAGAUGAAAUGACAUCAGAGCAUGUUCUAGCUGUGACCUAGUGAGAUUUGGAGUUUUCAUAAGCCUGACCUUUGUGUUUAAUUUAUAAAGUAGUGAGCUUCCUAUCAUUCGGAGGGAGGGGAGGCAUUUAUCUACCUGCCUAUGGCAGAUAAUUUACAUCCAUCAUCCCCUUUAAUCAAACACUGGGGUGUUCAGCAGAGGCAGGAUGACAGCUUGGGAGGGUGUGCCAGCCUCUGAGGGGCUGGACUGGAAUGACGCAAUGGUCUCCCCAGAUCUGAGAUUCCAGGAUUCAGUGGAAACACUGACAUCCUAACAUUGACAAUAAGCCUGUGGCCACUCUGAUACCUAGGAAUUUGGCAAAUGGUUCCAGGACAAUGUCCCAGAUUUCUUCUACACUUUUCAGAACUGCAAACACUCCCAGACCAACCAGAGGGCCAACUGCUCUCCAGAGACGGGAGGGAGGUGAGAACUGACCCAUAAGUCCUCCAAACACAGGAGGCAGAGUCAUGCCUUCCUUCCUCCUGCCAGUCACCACGCUGUGCAUGCUGUCCCCUCUUCUCGGGAGGCUCGAGUCAGCCAUAGACCAUGGUCGAGACGUGCUCAGCUGCCAGCCCCAGAGCUGUUUGGCUGAAGGAACUGGCUCUCUGUUCUCUCUCCCACGACUGUCAGAAGGACACCCAGAAGCCCUUGUUUUGUAUAUAAACCCCAUCAUGGAGUCUUUGUCCACAACCACAUAAUCAUAGGGCUGGAGGAGCUUGCAGGGCACCUCGUCCAGUCCUUAGCAGACCUGCAAGCAGAGCCACCUCAAAAACACCCCUGCCAGGUGCCUCUGCCUGACACCUUGAAGGCCAAGAGCUUGCUCCCAGCUGGCACCACCCUUGCUUUUGUCGAGCUCCUCAGCCAUUAGAAGGUGUGUCUAAUGUCUACGAGAAAGCUGACCUUCUGGGGCUUCCUCUCAUUCGUCCUUGUUCUUUCACUGAUGGUACAGAAAGUCCAGUCUUGUUGGAAGGGGUUGUACAAAGAGCUUCAGGGAGAUGUUUGGGGAGAAGUAUCAUGAGAUGAUGAGAAAUGUCAGAAAGAGAAUUGGCAGGUAUGUGUGUUUUCUAAAAGGAUCUGCAUCCUUGCAUGCUUUCUAGCAUGCUUUUUAAAAGUGUAGUGCUAAAGAGAUAAUGCCUCAACCCUCUGGAAAACUUGUCCAUCCCCAACAACUUACUCUCUGAGAACUACAGAAAACCAGAGUAUUGUGUUACUUAUUGUUGUGACAAGAAAAGGGUGAUCAGGAGGGGAGGAGACUCAAAACUGUGUCACGGGAAAGACCUUUGAAAGAACUGGUUCUGUUUAGCCAGAAGAGUAGAUUUGGGUGGUAAAGUAAUUGCCUCUGAAAAUCUUUCCUGGGGAAGAAGGAUUGAACCAAUUCCAAAUGGAGUAAAGAAAGAAUUGGGCCUAGGACAAAAGGGUAAACCAUAAGAGUGACCAAAAGCUUUCUGCUAGACAGAGCUAUUGAACAGUAAGAGGUCCCUGUCAGUGAAGAUGUCCAAGUGAAGUGGGGUUGGGUUGGGGGGCCAUUGAUGCAGUACAAGCUAUGGGUGGGAGGUUGGACCUGAUGGCUUUUCAUAUCUGAGAGACCAUGAGUUUGGGGUUGUUGUUUUUUUUUUUGUUUGUUUUGUUUUGUUUUUUUUAAGUAUAUAUGUAUCACCGCCAGCACCAUAACACACAUGUACAAUGAAGCUGGGGUAUUUAAAGCCAGAUGCUCUUUAUUUUUCAGAACACAUCAUUGUAGGGUGUGUGUCUCUUGCUUUGCUUAGCUUUGGUCACCCAGAGAUUUUCCCAUCGCUGACUUGGUUGUCAGCAAGUAAUAAAAGCCUUUCCUCUCUCCUUGGGAGGAGUGGAGCAGAUUGUCUGGAUCUGCGCGUACUGCCCUGGCUCCGGUCUCAGCACCAAACGCGUUCCUUCUGCGCAGUCUGUUCCCGUUUUGACAAUGCAGAGGGGAGAGCUGGAGAAAGUCCCAUAGCCAAGGGUUCUGGGAGCUGCGGGGCGGGGCUUUGCUCUGGGAUAGGAGGAAUCAUAUUUGCAUUUAAGAAAGAUAUGGCCGGAGUCCCUUGCUCAGGAGAGACACAAGCAGAAAGUUUGGCUGGGGUCAGCCUCUGACCUCACUCCACAUCGUUUACAGCCACACCAGUGUUUUCGUAAGGGCGGAGUCUGAAAGAGAUUUUUUUUACAGGAGGAAACUCCCCUACACCUCUCUGGCAUCCUGGGAUUAAAAUAAUAAUAAGUUGGUUUUUCUCUGCAUAAGGAAUGAGAUUGUGCUGUACUGCCUGAGGAUGGAGCACUAGAGUCCCUGUUUUAUUAAGAUCUAAAAAGUGGAAGUUCCCUUCGGGGCUCGGUGGUUAACGAAUCCAACUAGGAACCAUGAGGUUGAGGGUUCCAGCCCUGGCCUCGAUCAUUGGGUUAGGGAUCCGGUGUUGCCAUGAGCUGUGGUGUAGGUUGCAGACGCGGCUUGGAUCUGGUGUUGCUGUGGCUCUGGUGUAGGCUGGUGGCUACAGCUCCGAUUCGACCCCUAGCCUGGGAACCUCCAUAUGCC
rnacentral:lncRNA from 1 species